CUGGAAGAACAGGACGCCGAGCAAUGGGAAGAGAGCGCAGCCACGGCCUCCCCCCGCUCCGCUCUGCUGCAUCCCGACAGCUCUCCAGAUGCUUGCACACCUUGUUUAUGGCUCCGGGUAACGACACAGCUGAAAGCUGAGAGUCUUCUGGACUAACAGAGUAAUACAAGAAUACAAAUAGAAGAUACUGUUCCUUUGAAAGACUUGCUAAACCAAGUAGUACUGUGAUGCCUAACAAGUCAAAGCAAUGUGAAGAUUUUGUAGAAACUCA